AUUAUGGCUCAGGAUGAACGCUAGCGGCAGGCUUAACACAUGCAAGUCGAGGGGCAGCGCGAGUAGCAAUACUUGGCGGCGACCGGCGCAAGGGUGCGUAACGCGUGAGCAACAUGCCCGUAUCAGGGGGAUAAUCCAGGGAAACUUGGUCUAAUACCCCAUAGUAAUUUUGUAAGGCAUCUUAUAAGAUUUAAAGUUUUGGUGGAUACGGAUUGGCUCGCGUGACAUUAGCUGGAUGGUAAGGUAACGGCUUACCAUGGCUAUGAUGUCUAGGGGUUCUGAGAGGAAGGUCCCCCCACACUGGAACUGAGACACGGUCCAGACUCCUACGGGAGGCAGCAGUGAGGAAUAUUGGACAAUGGAUGGAAAUCUGAUCCAGCCAUGCCGCGUGAAGGAAGAAAGGUCCUAUGGAUUGUAAACUUCUUUUGUAUGGGAGCAAUAAGGCCUACGAGUAGGUUGAUGAGAGUACCAUACGAAUAAGCACCGGCUAACUCCGUGCCAGCAGCUGC
rnacentral:rRNA from 1 species